rnacentral:lncRNA from 1 species
GUGUAUGGGUGAUGCCCCUUGAUGACUUGCCUCUGACUUAUGUAUACCCCAUAUUAUGCAUUGCCUUGAGUUCUUUUACAGGUCACAUGUACAUGAAGCAUGGUGGUUGAACCAAGGUAUGCAACAUGACCUCAAGAUGGGGUUUUGGAUUAACAUGUGCACAAAAGGGAACCUCCAAGGUCAAUGGCCAAUUUUGGAGAAAUAGAAAUAGGAUUUUGGACCUAGG